CCCUCUCUCACGCGUGCGACACCCCUCUCUCCAUCUUUUUCUUCUUCUCUUUCCUGUACCCUAACCCAGCCGACCAUCAUCUUCUCCCCUUCCCUUGCCGUUCAGAUCCAUGGCCUCCGCCCACCGCCGCGUGACCCUCUGCCCAGCCCCGCCGCGUGACCUCUGUCUCCGUCGAAGCCAAGUCCAGCCGUCGUCCAUUCCUUUCCUCUCUUCUUCUCCGUUCGUGAAGCCCAGUCGCCGCGUCAGAUCGUCGAUCGAUUUUGAGGCAGCGCGCACGCCUCCUUCUAGCCGCGCGUUUCCUCUUCUUCCAGCAACGUGUUUUUUCUUCUAACCGCGAUUCACAA
rnacentral:lncRNA from 1 species